UACGUAGGGGGCAAGCGUUGUCCGGAGUUACUGGGCGUAAAGGGCACGCAGGCGGUGCGGCGCGUUUCGCGUGACAGCGGAGGGCUUAACUCUCCGAGGAUGCGAAAGACGGCGGCACUUGAGGGCCAGAGAGGGACACGGAAUUCCGGGUGGAGUGGUGAAAUGCGUAGAGAUCCGGAGGAACACCGAAGGCGAAGGCAGUGUCCUGGCUGGUGACUGACGCUGAGGUGCGAAAGCUAGGGGAGCGAACGGG
rnacentral:rRNA from 1 species